AGCACUGCAUCAUGCUCUAUCUGUGGUUCAUUUUCCUCUUACAGCCACAUCCAGGGAGAUUGGCUACACUCCUAUGGACCUUAAACUUCCUAAUAUUUGCAACUGCAGUCACAGGAAUAUCAAGCUGCGUG